GUGGAAUGGCUUUGAUAGUGUCACUGGCUAGCAAAAUAGUGGGAAAACAUCUGACCCAAAUAUACACUGACAGAAUGAGGAAGAAAGCCAGGAAAAUCACUGCAGAUACACACCUUCUUUCCAGCC